GGCAUCUAGGAAAACACCACCACAUUUAGAAAAAUGCUCCCCAUACAAUCCAUUUCUGUGCCUUAGAUAACAUGUGAUUCUGUGUUGGAUUCCCUUACUGCAUGGAUUGGGAAAAUCCCAAUUAAAUAGGGGGAAAGUGCAGGGCAAUGUCUUGCGGCCGAUGUGAAAAAUACACAUACAUGGGAUGCAUCAAAUUCAUCUUCAAACUGCCCUGUAUGUGCACAGCCUCUCCCCUUGUCCUUUAUCCUGUGAAACCAAGGAAGCAGGGAAAUCCAGGGCAUUCUUGGGACGUGCCAUAUAGUUUGCCGUCAGCCCAGAAAAUCCACCUAUACACAAGCAAGAGGCUUGCGACAGGCUCAUCAGAUUGGGGGAAUUCUCUCUUGUUGUUAUAGAUGCACCUGAAUCCAAGCCUGUACUUGCUACCCAGAUCAUUCAGGCACCUUGCAUCGUUUCAUUAAAAGGGAUCACUCAGUAAAGUUUCAUAAACAGAGAGGGAAGCAACCCUCCCACUUUUAAUAAAUUGAACUGGUAUUGCUGCGUUGCUUGUCAGCUACGUGCGUUAAAGUGUAAGCUUGUUAGUUUAGCUAUAAUUAUGUCAUCUUGGGCAAUUAUAACCUAGGAAAUUCCCCAGUGUUGUUUUUCCCCAGAAUGAAAACAAACUGGCCAGCCCAAACCAGAGAAGAAAUGUGGCGCUAGGUGUGUUGGGGCCAGAGCAUAGAAAUCUCUGUGUUACAAAGCUAUUAUUGUCACUCAAAAGAAACUGGACCAUUUCUGCCAGGGUGCCCUGGUUUAUUGAAUUGAUGUAUUGCUUCUUGAAACAACUGCUGUUGUUUAGUCGUUUAGUCGUGCCCAACUCUUCGUGACCCCAUGGACCAGAGCACGCCAGGCACUCCUGUCUUCCACUGCCUCCCACAGUUUGGUCAGACUCAUGUUUGUAGCUUCGAGAACACUGUCCAACCAUCUCAUCCUCUGUCGUCCCCUUCUUCUUGUGCCCUCAAUCUUUCUCAACAUCAGGGUCUUUUCCAAGGAGUCUUCUCUUCUCAUGAGGUGGCCAAAGUAUUGGAGCCUCAGCUUUACAAUCCGUCCUUCCAGUGAGCACUCAGGGCUGAUUUCCUUCAGAAUGGAGAGGUUUGAUCUUCUUGCAGUCCAUGGGACUCUCAAGAGUCUCCUCCAGCACCAUAAUUCAAAAGCAUCAAUUCUUUGGCAAUCAGCCUUUUUUAUGGUCCAGCUCUCACUUCCAUACAUCACUACUGGGAAAACCAUGGCUUUAACUAUACGGACCUUUGUUGUCAAGGUGAUGUCUCUGCUUUUUAAGAUGCUGUCCAGAACAACUAGUCCAGAACAAAUAAAAUACUGUAGUAGUAGUACAGAAACAUUGAACUGUACCAAAGUAAAAGCAACGAAUACCUGGUGCUGCCCAAAUGUGCAGGUAAACAAUAGCAUAAUUACCCCUGUUACCAAAACAAUGGCAAAGUUGGUGCCAGGCAGGCCUCCCGGGGGAAGGAAUUUCAUCAACAUGGAGCUGCUACAGACAAGGUAGUCUUUGAUCCCCAGGACAAGUCAAAGACACACACAGAAUCAUAAAAUGAUAGAAUUUAGAGACAGGCAGAUGCCAACAAGGAAAGAACAAAUCAUAUAAUUUCCACGUGCUGUGAAUAAAACUAAAUCUUACCCCCUCAAUUUUCAGUCCAGUUUGAGAUGUAUAGGAUGGUUGUUGUUUUUUAACCCAUUACUUGUUUAAGAGCUUAUGGAGAAUUUUUCCCCCCCUGUGGCAAAUGUUUCUUUAAAAAUGUGUGUAUGUGUGUGCUUGCAUAUAUCAUGGGGAAGGGACUCCCCAGUAAAGUUAUCUAUAGAUCAAAA